AUGAAUCCUAAUUUUCGUGUUACUCGUCCAUUUGUAGAGGGUAAUAGUAGGUUAUGCAUAUGCAUAAGAGACUAAUACUAUUACAGGCUGCAGACACGGCAUGUGAUAUUUAAUCCCAUACUCUAUGGAGCACGGCUGCUCCAACAAUGGGGGGUCGACAUGUACAUCAAGAUUGAGAGUUGUAGGUUGAAAUGGUACAGAAAGAACCAGACAAAGAUUUGUGCCGACCUAUAUAAAGCAGUUGUUGAUGCGAUCACAUUUGGAGAGACGCGUGCAAGCGAUGUUGGGGUAAGGAUAGUGCUCACCGCGACAUGA
rnacentral:rRNA from 1 species